UUUAUUCCACCAAAGGUCUUUUCCACACCUAAGUUUGAAAAAUAAAGAAUUAUUUUAAAUUGAAGAUAUGGCCACAAAAUUUGUGCGGACUGCGGAGUACCAUGUUUAUGAUAUAAGUCAUGACACCCACGGCAAGAAAUUGAGAGGCUAAUUGAAUAAAGAGUGGCCACGCCAUAAAAUAAAAUCUCUCGAAAGUAGCCAAAAAUAUUCUCGUAGAAAAAUCAAACAGCAAUUUGUGAAAGAGUGGUCGACUGAAUUAUCCAUCGAGGAAAAAGCCACUUACCCUAUUCCUAAACCACAUCCACUCCCUCUAAACUACCCCUCUUUGUUCUUUCCAUCUUUCCCUCCACUCCAAUAUCUUUCCUCUUUCAACUUGUCAGGUACUUUCUUUUCCUUUACUCUGCUUCCUUACUUAGCUCUUAACUUUAAAUUUGUAUUAUUUUCUGAUCGAAAUCUGUUUGUUAUAAUGCCUCAGUGAAUUUACUGCUCCUUCACCUGUAGUUUUGUAAACCC
rnacentral:lncRNA from 1 species